ensembl:lncRNA
GAGUGAAUGUGUUGGCCUUUGGAACUGCUGCUAACGCCAUGUGUGGGGCAGCGAGCACAUUUUUAGGUGGUGGCAAGGCUGUAUCUGAUUGACACAGAUCUGCAAUCCCUAACACCAUAUUGCUGUUGUCCUGAAUUUUCUAACUUGGAGAAAUUUAAGGAUCUCCUGCAUUAUCUAGGCAGAGCAUAUGUUGAGGUUGUUUUGCCAGUUGUUAUCAGUGUUGAAGAAGUGCUCCUGCAAGCAAACUGUGUUAAAAGGAUUGUGACCCCAUAUGCAUCUGAUGUACACUGUGUUUUGGUGUUUGUGUUUUCAGAGUUCUAGCCAGUACUGCGCCUGAACUUGGGAGAGAAAGGAGCCUGUGGCUGAGGUUUGUGCGUGCUCUAUUUCUGUGUAUCAAAUGGACUAUAAGGUUACUGAAACUGGGCUAAGUGAAAGGGCAUAGACAACUCUUUACACUGUAGACAGAUUUUAGAAAGCUAUGGGAAGGCAAAUGGAUGUUUCUGCCUAAAUUUGGCAACCUAGAGAGUGAUGCAGAGCAGAGUCACUGAGGUUGGCAUGCCUGUCUUCUGCAGGCCAAUGCAAGUUUUAGGAGAGUGGGCUGCUUAAAACAUGGCGCUUGUCCACAUGAAUUUGAUGGUUUAUGGGUGUAUUUCAAGCUUAGGGACAAGUUGUGGUUUUUAGAUGCAGUAACCCUAUGCCACCUUUUGGCCACUGUUAAAGUUUCACUUGGAUCCCUGCCCAGCCAUAGCAAUGAAUGACCGAAUUGGAUCAGUUAGUGUAGAAAUUCAGACUGUCUGUUCCUCAGUUACUGGAUUGUUCUUUAGCCAUUUUUCUUGUCAUUUCAGUCAAACUGGUUAGGUUAGGUGACUUACUGAUUUCUAAAUUAACAAAAUUGAAUUUCCAAAUUGUUUCUGACAUGGUGAGAGUUGGGUUAGAAUUUUGGUUUCAUUCUCCAAGUCAUUUUUUCUUUUUCUUUAUUUUUACUUUUUGAGACAGAGUCUCACUCUGUCGUCCAGGCUGGAGUGGAGUGGCAUAGUAUUGUCUCACUGCAGCCUCAACCUCCCAGACUCAGGUGAUUCUCCCACCUCAACCUCCAAAGUAACUGGGACUACAGUCAUGUGCUACCAUGCCUGGCUAAUUUUUUGUAUAUCUGUAGAGGGGGAGUUUCACCAUGUUGCUUGAGCUGGUCUUGAACUCCUGGGCUCAAGUGAUCUAUGCGCCUUAGCCUCUCAAAGUGCUGAGAUUAUAGGCGUGAGCCACCGUGCCCAGCCUCAUUUUUUCUUCCAAUAUGGAAAAUUGGCUAAUCCACCUAAUACCGCUCAUCCUCUUGUAUUCUAUCCUACCUUCUACCCUCAGAGUUAUUGAUGUACUCUUUCAUCAUGUGCUAUCAUGAUUUCUGCUUAGAUUAGAAAGUAAGCUUAAAAUGGGCAGGCCCAUGUCUUCAUAUUGUUCUGAAUUAACAGAUUUUGAUGGCCGCUGAUCAUGUGCAGAUAAUGGAAGCUCAUUUCCUUCCAUGAACCAGGAGCAUGCUUGCCUCUUCUUUUAAGUUGACCUGCACAGUCUCUGAUGUCUUCUUUUUGGAAAGGGUAAUCAGAUAAGGAUUAUGUAAGGACACUUUCUUCUGGUCUAGUGUUAGAUACAGUUACCUUGAUAAUAAUGAAAAAAAUGAAUAUCACCAAAACCUAACUAUGAUGUAAGAAUUCUGCUUCUGUCCCCCAGGGGCUCUGAAAGAGUCUAGCCUUAAUCUUCUUUCCCAGAGGAAGUUUGACUUAUGACCAUAUUAGUAUGCUUUAUUCCUCAGUGUUUAAGGGAGUUGGGGCUGACAGGUUAGCUGGCUAAUGUCAUUACAUUUUAGUUUUUGUGACAUUUAAUCUGUUAAGAAGGGGGCUUAUUGCAUAAUCAAAAAAA